UAUAUUGGUUCUGCUGUUCUGCUGUCCCCGUCCCUUUAAAUUGCCUGUGUGGAGUACGUGCCCUGCGACUUCACGUAACCCCAGUCAAUUGACUGUGCUUGGCCAAUUACGUAAUUGAGCACAGGUGUUUAAUCAGACUGUGGCGUCUUCCUCAUUCAGAAGUGUGGGGAAGCUGAUCGACAGUUGUGGAUAGAACAACUUAACUGGCUGCAGGGAAUUCGUCACCGCCAUCAGGGUAUGUUUACAUAGAGGAACUGGCCAGGUUCUCUCUCUCUAGAGAUGAAUGAUGGCGAGCUGAAUUACUAUGGCUAGGAGCCUAACAUCUGAGCAGCAUCUACUGAACAGCCAUCCUAUUGGUCUGGUAGGAAGGUUGUCUGCAGCUUGUCCCCAACACACGUCUCCAUAGACUAGCGCUUCAGUCCCACAUGCACAUCCUUUCCCUGGACAAUAACCAAUGGACUUAUUAAUAUAA